GGGGAAGAAGGCCUUCGGGUCGUAAACCCCUGUUCUGGGGGAAGAACCCUGAGUGGGUUAAGAGCCCAUUCAGGCUGACGGUACCCCAGGAGCAAGCCACGGCUAACUGCGUGCCAGCAGCCGCGGUAAUACGCAGGUGGCGAGCGUUGCCCGGAAUCACUGGGCGUAAAGGGUGCGUAGGCGGCAGGGUAAGUCGCAGGUUAAAGCCCGGGGCUCAACCCCGGAAAGGCCUGCGAUACUGCCUUGCUUGAGGGCCGGAGAGGCUGGCGGAAUUCCCGGUGUAGGGGUGAAAUCCGUAGAUAUCGGGAGGAACACCGGUGGGGAAGCCGGCCAGCUGGACGGUCCCUGACGCUGAGGCACGAAAGCGUGGGGAGCAAACCGGAUUAGAUACCCGGGUAGUCCACGCCGUAAACGAUGGGUGCUAGGUCUGGGGAGGAAACUCUCUGGGCCGAAGCUAACGUGUUAAGC
rnacentral:rRNA from 1 species